GUCAUAUGCUUGUCUCAAAGAUUAAGCCAUGCAUGUCUCAGUACAAGCCAAAUUAAGGUGAAACCGCGAAAGGCUCAUUAAAUCAGUUAUGGUUCCUUAGAUCGUACCCACAAUUACUUGGAUAACUGUGGUAAUUCUAGAGCUAAUACAUGCAUGCAGAGCUCCGACCGGAGACGGAAGGAGUGCUUUUAUUAGAUCAAAACCAAUCGGUGGCGGGUUCGCGCUCGUCAUCGUACAACUUGGUGACUCUGAAUAACUUUACGCUGAUCGCACGGUCAUCGCACCGGCGACGCAUCUUUCAAAUGUCUGCCUUAUCAACUGUCGAUGGUAGGUUCUGCGCCUACCAUGGUUGUAACGGGUAACGGGGAAUCAGGGUUCGAUUCCGGAGAGGGAGCCUGAGAAACGGCUACCACAUCCAAGGAAGGCAGCAGGCGCGCAAAUUACCCACUCCCGGCACGGGGAGGUAGUGACGAAAAAUAACGAUACGGGACUCAUCCGAGGCCCCGUAAUCGGAAUGAGUACACUCUAAACCCUUUAACGAGGAUCAAUUGGAGGGCAAGUCUGGUGCCAGCAGCCGCGG
rnacentral:rRNA from 1 species